AAGAGUUCAUAUCGACGGCGGUGUUUGGCACCUCGAUGUCGGCUCAUCACAUCCUGGGGCUGAAGUAGGUCCCAAGGGUAUGGCUGUUCGCCAUUUAAAAGUGGUACGCGAGCUGGGUUUAGAACGUCGUGAGACAGUUCGGUCCCUAUCUGCCGUGGGCGCUGGAGAAUUGAGGGGGGCUGCUCCUAGUACGAGAGGACCGGAGUGGACGCAUCACUGGUGUUCGGGUUGUCAUGCCAAUGGCACUGCCCGGUAGCUAAAUGCGGAAGAGAUAAGUGCUGAAAGCAUCUAAGCACGAAACUUGCCCCGAGAUGAGUUCUCCCUGAGACUUUAAGUCUCCUGAAGGAACGUUGAAGACGACGACGUUGAUAGGCCGGGUGUGUAAGCGCAGCGAUGCGUUGAGCUAACCGGUACUAAUGAACCGUGAGGCUUAACCUUAC
rnacentral:rRNA from 1 species